rnacentral:rRNA from 1 species
AUUGAACGCUGGCGGCAUGCCUUACACAUGCAAGUCGGACGGCAGCACGGGUGCUUGCACCUGGUGGCGAGUGGCGAACGGGUGAGUAAAGCAUCGGAACGUACCCGGGAGUGGGGGAUAACGUAGCGAAAGUUACGCUAAUACCGCAUACCCUGUAAGCAGGAAAGCGGGGGAUCGCAAGACCUCGCGCUUUCGGAGCGGCCGAUGUCGGAUUAGCUAGUUGGUGGGGUAAAGGCCUACCAAGGCAACGAUCCGUAGCGGGUCUGAGAGGAUGAUCCGCCACACUGGGACUGAGACACGGCCCAGACUCCUACGGGAGGCAGCAGUGGGGAAUUUUGGACAAUGGGCGCAAGCCUGAUCCAGCCAUGCCGCGUGAGUGAAGAAGGCCUUCGGGUUGUAAAGCUCUUUUGUUGGGAAAGAAAAGAUUCGGGCUAAUACCCUGGAUUAAUGACGGUACCCAAAGAAUAAGCACCGGCUAACUACGUGCCAGCAGCCGCGGUAAUACGUAGGGUGCAAGCGUUAAUCGGAAUUACUGGGCGUAAAGCGUGCGCAGGCGGUUGUGUAAGUCAGAGGUGAAAUCCCCGGGCUCAACCUGGGAACUGCCUUUGAGACUGCGCAACUAGAAGAUGCCAUAGGGUGUACAACUCCACGUGUACCAUUGAAAAUG